rnacentral:lncRNA from 1 species
CAGAUCUACCACCAUAGUACACACCAAGGGAAAUGCGGAAAUCAUCAUUCCAACUCCACUCCGUGCAGUACAAAAGGCAACGGAACGGCAAGCCCGUCGCACAUCCUAUCAAGCUUUUCUGACCAGUUCUAACAAACACCAAAACGCAUCACGCAUACUCGUCUUGCUUGCAGAUCUUUGCCGCUAUAAAACAGAUCCUGCAGCACACGCGAACAUUACACUUGAAAACAUUGAAAGAAGAAUAUGGAUCUCCUUCAGUGACCAUCACGAACACCUAAAUAAAUCGGUAAGUCGCUGCUAAUAUGCCCCCGUGGAACCGCUGUUGUUUUUCCACCUUGUCCAGAGCAGGACUUCCAGCGUGAUGAUGGUGAUCAGAAGGAUGGCCAGGUUGAAACCGUAGCCGAUCUUCCAAGAGUUGCCUGCGCCGCCGACCUUGAUCCCGAGCACAAUGUUGAUGGCUGCAAAGAAGAGGGCGAGCCUGCCGACCCAGUGGUGGUACCAGUUCCAGAACUUGCGGUACUUGGAGUCCU